AUGAGAUCCUUGAGUGUCCUAUUACUGAUCCUGUGGUUUCACUUGAGAUGGCUGAGCGGCCAACAGAAGGUGGAGCAGCACCCUGAGUCCCUCAGUGUUCCAGUGGGAACCACAGCCUCUCUCAACUGCACUUACAGAGACACUGCUUCUCAGUACUACAGAUGGUACAGACAGUAUUCUGGGAAGGGCCCUGAGCUGCUGGUGUCUGCAUACUCCAAUGGUGAUAAAGAUGAGGGAAGAUUCACAGUGCAACUCAACAAAGCCAGCCUUUAUCUUUCCCUGCACAUCAGAGGCUCCCAGCUCAGUGACUCAGCCACCUACCUCUGUGCAGUGACGAGAGGCUCCGUCUUGGGGAAGCUGUACUUUGGAAGAGGAACUCAGCUGACUGUCAGGCCUGAUAUCAGCAACCCUGAGCCCUCCGUAUACCAACUAAAAGACCCAAAAUUCAGAAACACCUCCAUCUGCCUGUUCACCGACUUCGAUUCUCAGGUCGAUGUGGUGCAGGGGUCUGAAGCCGUGGAAUCUGAAGUCUUUUACUCUGGAAAAACUGUGCUGGACAUGAGGUCCAUAGACUUCAAGAGCAACGGUGCCGUGGCCUGGAGCAAAAAGACUGGUUUUGAGUGUACCGGAAUCUUCAAGGAGGAGAACGUCUCCCUCCCCAGCCCAGGUCACUCUUGUGAUGCCAAGUUGGUAGAGAAAAGCUUUGAAACAGAUAUCACCCUGAACUUUCAAAACCUGUCAGUGGUCGGGCUCCGCGUUCUCCUCCUCAAAGUGGCCGGAUUCAACGUGCUCAUGACGCUGCGGCUCUGGUCCCGCUGAGGUGGGCAAGAUGAUAAGAUCCC